rnacentral:rRNA from 1 species
UGCAGUCGAGCGGAGAGAGGUAGCUUGCUACUGAUCUUAGCGGCGGACGGGUGAGUAAUGCUUAGGAAUCUGCCUAUUAGUGGGGGACAACAUUUCGAAAGGAAUGCUAAUACCGCAUACGUCCUACGGGAGAAAGCAGGGGAUCUUCGGACCUUGCGCUAAUAGAUGAGCCUAAGUCGGAUUAGCUAGUUGGUGGGGUAAAGGCCUACCAAGGCGACGAUCUGUAGCGGGUCUGAGAGGAUGAUCCGCCACACUGGGACUGAGACACGGCCCAGACUCCUACGGGAGGCAGCAGUGGGGAAUAUUGGACAAUGGGCGCAAGCCUGAUCCAGCCAUGCCGCGUGUGUGAAGAAGGCCUUAUGGUUGUAAAGCACUUUAAGCGAGGAGGAGGCUACUUUAGUUAAUACCUAGAGAUAGUGGACGUUACUCGCAGAAUAAGCACCGGCUAACUCUGUGCCAGCAGCCGCGGUAAUACAGAGGGUGCAAGCGUUAAUCGGAUUUACUGGGCGUAAAGCGCGCGUAGGCGGCUAAUUAAGUCAAAUGUGAAAUCCCCGAGCUUAACUUGGGAAUUGCAUUCGAUACUGGUUAGCUAGAGUGUGGGAGAGGAUGGUAGAAUUCUAGGUGUAGCGG